ACCGGUACAUUUUAUUACAGCCAGAUAAAAAUACGCUAUAAAAAAAUUCGCCAUUUCACGUUCCGUUCCACAGUGUAAACAAAACUUUGUUACUUUUUGUGUAAAAAAGUCAAUGUAAUUGCUUAUUACAGCAACAAUUACUGUGCACAUUAAUUACAACAAAUUUACUAUGUGAAUAUAUUAAAAUAAUAAAAUAUAUUUCGGUAAAAACAUGACAUAAAAUUUAGUAAAAUACACGUUUACCGUAAACGGAUCGUGAAACGUCAACUGUGACGUCUACCUUGACGAUUUUUAAGGGAACUUUAAAAAAUUAUAUCUCGUAAACCUUGAGUUUCCGCAACUUGAAACUUUGCAAAAAGCUUUCUAUUUAUGAGUACUAUCUACAAAAAAAAAAAAAUUGAGAACUUCCAAAUCUACGGACUCUAAAGGAAAGUUUAGCUCAGUUGAUGUUUAAGAAUUACGGUACUUAUACCCGAAGUACGGGUUAUUACGGUUAUGCUUUAGUUAUGCUGCUCUGUUCAGAGAAUAACACAAUAAUAUGGAAUGCACAGAUAAUACGGACGGAAUGUAUAGAACAUAAUUCAGCAUGAAAAUUCAAUAUCCAAAACAAUAAACAACUUUACUACAAGCGGACUUGAGUGAAGGGAGCGUACGUAAUAUGUACAUAUACAAAUAUCACACCAAUAACAGAAAACAUUAAAGUGUAGUUCUCACUUUCUCAGUACAGCUGAAGUAACUGUAGUGUUUGGACGUCUAAAAUUUUAUUUUAAUAUUUUAAAUAUCGUUGUUAAAAUGGAUCGAAAAUUCGUAAAUGUUAUUAUAUUAGGAUUCGGUUUUAUGUUUGUGUUUACUGCAUUUCAAACAAUGGGAAAUAUUGAGAAUCGCAAUCGAGAGAAAUCUGUAUAUAUAUAUAUAUAUAUAUAUAAAUGAAUUGCUGUUCGUUAGUCUCGCUAAAACUCGAGAACGGCUGGACCGAUUUGCUAACUUUGUUCUUGAAUUAUUUGUGGAGGUCCAGAGAAGGUUUAAAACGUAGAUAAAUAUGAAAAUGCUCGGAAAUAAAUAAAAAUAAGAAUUU